rnacentral:rRNA from 1 species
GCGUGAUAAUUCGCCCUUUAAUUGUGGGCUUGUAUGAAAGGACAAACGAGAGUCUAGCUGUCUCCCAGAUAGAAACGGAAAUUGUUAUUCAGGUGAAGAAACCUGAAUUUAGGUAAAGGACAAAAAGACCCCAUAGAGCUUUGUUGAACCCCGUAUUAACUGAGAAAUAAAUUUAUAUUCUCAGCUAACACAGUAACAACUUAACUGGGGCGGUUAAGGAAAAUCAAAAACUUCCGUUUUUAGCCCUCAAUGCACAUCAAGGCCACACUAGCCAAAUCUCACAGCCAUAAUUGACCCUUAUUCAAAGAUCAAAGGAUAAGCUACCUUGGGGAUAACAGAUUCAUCCCCCUUAAGAGUCCGCAUUGACAGGGGGGC